AGGAUAGAUUUUCGGUUGUUGUCUGUGGUCCUUUGAGAAAACUCGUGCCAGAUCGUCAUCGGACAGUGGUCAGUGGCGACAUGACGCUCAGAACAAUGAUCGUGCUGACUAGCCACAGAGUAGUUUUGUGACGAUGAGCUGACAUCCCCGGUGACGGCUUUUUUCGGAACUGGCAAGGAGGCAAACCAUUCUCUGUCAGAAGGUCUCGAGUGAAUGUGUGGUUAGAUUUUUCUUCCCGCCCGCGUGGCGCAGGCCGUAUUGGUACCAAGUUCCUUGCUUCAUAUUUCCUGUUACCAGAUACGUGCCACAGACACCCACGCAGCAUCACACCAUGUGUACCUAACCUGAAUUGCCGACAAUUUCAAUCCUGCCCGGUGAAGCGUGCGAUUGCCAGACGCGUGUCACCUGACCCAACCCCAAGGUAAGCGCCAUGACCUUCCACGUGUCGAUUAGGUUAUUUUGCAAGUGUCACGUUUAAACAGCAAAGCUACCGCCUUUGAGACGAGAUCUAACCUUCCCAUAAUCGUUUGAUUAGUGAUUGACCGUAGGUUUUAGGUUAGAAAUACCCAGGGGCCAUUCAAGACACGUCACUUGAGACAUGUUAGCUAGGCCUUCGCUGUCCUUACCGACCCAUCCUUGACCCAAGGCUGUUUCUCGCGAUUCCAGAAGGUGUCGUUGGUGACCAGAGCCGUCAGCGAGCCACAAGCCGUCCGGAGCUCCUGUCCUGGCCCCGUCCGACAGUCCAGGUUGGCCGUUGUAUGUUCGUUGAGCGGAUACUGAGGAAUUUCCUUAGGAUUUCUAUUAAUCUUCAGCGGCAUCAGCCUUCUAACGCCGCUGCUGAAUGUAGGAUUGCAAAGGCAGAACCCGGGUGGACUCUAGCGGGUUAAAACCUUUAUUUUAUUAUUUUUUCUUCAUAGGGAGCCCCGUUAGAACGGGCAGUAGUAUCUAAAUUGCACUUUGAACCUUUUGUAGGCGCUAGGCUAUCAACGUCCUUCGGUUACGGGGCCUUAACGUUAAACUGCUAUCCCAUUGAAGUAAUAUAGAAGUUCCUCUGUGGUUAAUACCAUCCUUCUACCCCUGUGGCGUGAAACGCAGCGGUGGAACCUUGGUUUCUCCACUCUUAUAUAAUUUCCUUGCAAUACCUUGUGUACUUCAACCAGACAAUUAUAAGGACUUAAUCCCUGGUCUCAUUUAAGUAGUAUAAGAGUUUCUCUGUGGUUAAUACCAUCCUUCUACCCCUGUGGCGUGAAACGCAGUGGUGGAACUUUGGUUUCUCCACUCUUAUAUAAUUUCUAUAUAAUAAAUAUUAAUAAUUGUACAACAUUCUGAUAUUUUUAUUUUCCACCUCAUUGUAAUUUCACCACCCACUACACAGUGGAAAAUAGGCUUACAUUUGGCGCCCGAGCAGAGUUUAAUCCGUUAGCUUAUAGUCUAAUCUAUCGCUUAGACAGGCCUGAGUCCACCCGGGGGGGUAAUUAGAAAUUAAUUAGUAUUAUAAUUUCUUGUGUGUGUUUUGCGUGUGUCAUCGUGACUUGCUGACAGAGAAUCACUGCAGAAGGUUUCCUUUUUUUAAUUUAUUAACUUAAUAAGGCUAUAUUUUUUUGUGUGGAUAUUGUGUUAAAAUUUUUAACCUCUUAUUUCAGACAUUUUAUUUUAUUGACUUAACAUGCCUUAUUUUUUGUUGAGAUUGCGUUAAAUUUGUAUAAUUUCUUAUUCCAAACGUUAUUCAAAGGAAAACCUUCUGCUGGAAUUUUAUUUAGUUAAUUAUUGAACAAUUAAAUAUUGAACAGUUGGUGAUUGUUUUUAAGCAAUUUUGCUGAGACAUUGUUAUUGUCUGUUUAACUUAAACACUCAACUUUUAAUAAUUACAGUUUUGUUUUAUCAAUUUUUUAUAAAAAUAACCAAAUUUUUUACAAGGUCAACCUUUUAUGAGUUAAUAUAUUGUGUUACACAUCAUUUAACUGUCAGUUAUAACUUAACUUUACUUAAGUUUAAUAUUGUACCUGGACUUACUGAAACAUACUUUAAGGAGGAAGCAUUUAUUUUGAAGAUAUUGUUAUCUAUUGUUCUGCUUUUACAUUGAACGUUGCGUGUUUUACAUAACCAUUUAACUGUCAAUUAUAACUUAACUUUACUUAAGUUUAAUAUUGUACUUAGACUUACUGAAACACACUUUAAUGGGAAAGCAUUUAUUUUUAUAUUGGUGUUUAUUGUUCGACCUUUACAUUGAACGUUGAUACAGCCUGGGGUCACAAAUUGAUUUGAACGUGUGCUACCUUAGGGAUUAGAUCCAUAUUGUUGUAACAUCAUGGGGGAACGUCCGAUAUGUUUCAACCUUUUAUUAAAAGAUGAAUUGACAUACGAGGCCACAGUCCGAGGUGUCAAACCUGAGGCCACUGCGGACCAAUUAAGAUUACAAUUAACAGAAUUAGCUGCGCGGAUGCCUUCGGACGAGGUUAUUUACUUUGAGGGAGAUGUUACCUCAGAGUUAGAAAAAGUUAAAAACAAAAUUAAAGACUUGCAGAGCUCACUUUCAAAACCAAAUUUGCAGUUAAAACACAUCAAGCGUUGCGAAUCAUUGGCUAACCAUUUAUAUCACCGCUUAGGUCGUAUAAAUGCCGUCAGUAAGGAGGAGACUUGUAUGCUCGGGGACUUGCUCUUACAACUCGAAUCUAGGGACAGAGAACUGAGGUACAUUUCUAAAGCUUAUCAGGAGCAGGAAAAGAAACAGGAUAUCCCUGUCGUAGGGUGUAUAGAGCCAUGUCCUAAGGUGGACCACACACAGAUCCAAAAACUGAACCUUGUCUUUAACGGCAGUGAUAGUGUACAGGCAUUCGUGCAGCGACUGGAGGAGCUUUGCAAUUCUCGAGGUAUCUCUGAGGAGACGUUAUUUAAUUCCGUCGCAGAAAUUUUUAGCGGUGAUGCCUUGUUUUGGUUUCGGGGUGUCAAGGAGGAAGUCUCGAGUUGGAAAGAGGUUAAGGCUCGUUUGUAUGAAGAGUUCCUGCCAUUCGAUUAUAAUCGACGUUUAUUACAGGAGGUGCGGUCGCGGACACAAGGUGCUGAUGAAUCCAUCAUAAAGUACUUAAGCACAAUGCGGAAUUAUUUUUCUAGGCUCAGCGUGCCGUUACCGGAGUCAGAGCAGCUGGAGGUAGUACAAGGUAACCUUAGACCGUUUUACACGAGUCAGCUUGCUCUCACAAACGUCGGGAACUGGAACGAGCUGAAGGAACGCUGUAGGCAGCUGGAGUACGCCAAAUACAGAGCAGACUCUUUUGCGGAGCCGCCCCGAGUUUCUGCGAAUUCGGUAGCGCCGGACUUAGCCUAUCAGGCUAGGAACCGACUUUCGGUUAACGCCGUAAACACCGAGGUGGACUUAUUUUGCGUUCGUUGCAGGGUUCUUGGACAUGGCCUUUGGCAAUGUAGUGCACCACCCACCCAAUUGUGUUACUCUUGUGGUUUAAAGGGUGCCACCUUGCACACGUGUCCACGGUGUGGUCCGUCAGUCGCUGAGCCACCGAAACUACAACAAAAGCCAGAUCCUGCUGGACCAACCGUUGCUGGGGUAAGCGUGAACAACGAGCAGCCUGGAACCAAAUCCACCGGCAGUGGUAGUCGUCGUCGUCGCCGUCGCCGCCACCGCCGUCGCCGCCGCUGUGAAGAGGCAGGUGAUGGAGACGCGGACAGUGGCUUGCGACCUUAUUUAGAUGUCGCGAUUUACCACCAUCGUUGCAGAGGGUUGUUGGAUUCGGGUUCUACAGUUUCGGUCAUUGGCGGAAAGGCGGCCCAAUCCCUCUCCAGUUGUGGUACGUUGUAUCCAGCUGAGGAGAAAUCCAUUAUCACGGCUAAUGGAUCACAUUCUCCGGUUUCUGGUUUUAAGAUUUUACCGGUGACUGUAGAGGAUGUUACGGCUUUCGUGAAAUUUUAUGUCGUUCCUGAUAUUUCUUCAGAAUUGCUGUUAGGUAUAGAUUUCUGGCGUGCUUUUAAUAUCGCACCUGAUGUUCUGAACCUACUCAAUAAAAGAGGAGUCUCUAAAAGCAGGGAACCGUAUGCAAGUGAGGUUAGACAUUUGAACUCAUGCAACGAGAUGAGUGCUUCGAAGUGUGUACCGGCUGAUAACGCUACUGCCAGUUUGGUAGUUCGUGGUCGUCGCUCACAGGAUUGCCAACUCAGUAGGGUUCGUCGAAGCAUGGAUUCAAAGUCGUACUUGACUGCUAGUUUGACUCCGAAUUACGAGAGGUAUACAGUAGUUCAACAAGUGUCUGGAUUUGUCUACAUUCUUGAAGAUAGCAAUGGGAACCAGACAGAGUGUCACGCCAGGGAUAUUCUCUGUAGAAUUGAUGUUCCGUAGGCCACCUUUGUGUGUGUUGACUUACUCUAUUGAGUAAGCCAGCAAUGCCAAGGGCUCAUUUACUAUGCGUCGUCGUGUUGCAAAGUCAGUGAAUAGUUUCGUAGGCCACCUUUGUGUGUGUUGACUUACUCUAUUGAGUAGGCCAACAAUGCUAAGGACUCAUUCACUUUGCGUCGUGGAGUUUUUUUUUGUGGGAUUUUCCAUUUAAUUUAUUUCAGGGUUUAUCUCAUUGCUUAGGGACUCUACUGAGUCGGUGAGUGAUCUUAACCUUAUUGAUAUUCACUGGGUUUUCCAGCUAUUAUCUUUGAUUUAGGUUUCUCUUAAAUGAGUGACCCACAUAUUCCGAUUGUUUUAGGUGUUUAGGAUUUAAAGAUGGAGGGCCAUCUUUGAAUUUUUCUCGUACCCUCGAAAAAUUCUGGUGGGGACGGGGGUACUGUAACACCAUUAUUUUUGUAACUUAACAUUUCGUUUAUUGUUUACAUUUUGUUUGUUUACUUUGUUAGUCUUGUCAAGUAUCAGCUGUCAAAUUCGACACACAGGAUAGAUUUUCGGUUGUUGUCUGUGGUCCUUUGAGAAAACUCGUGCCAGAUCGUCAUCGGACAGUGGUCAGUGGCGACAUGACGCUCAGAACAAUGAUCGUGCUGACUAGCCACAGAGUAGUUUUGUGACGAUGAGCUGACAUCCCCGGUGACGGCUUUUUUCGGAACUGGCAAGGAGGCAAACCAUUCUCUGUCAGAAGGUCUCGAGUGAAUGUGUGGUUAGAUUUUUCUUCCCGCCCGCGUGGCGCAGGCCGUAUUGGUACCAAGUUCCUUGCUUCAUAUUUCCUGUUACCAGAUACGUGCCACAGACACCCACGCAGCAUCACACCAUGUGUACCUAACCUGAAUUGCCGACAAUUUCAAUCCUGCCCGGUGAAGCGUGCGAUUGCCAGACGCGUGUCACCUGACCCAACCCCAAGGUAAGCGCCAUGACCUUCCACGUGUCGAUUAGGUUAUUUUGCAAGUGUCACGUUUAAACAGCAAAGCUACCGCCUUUGAGACGAGAUCUAACCUUCCCAUAAUCGUUUGAUUAGUGAUUGACCGUAGGUUUUAGGUUAGAAAUACCCAGGGGCCAUUCAAGACACGUCACUUGAGACAUGUUAGCUAGGCCUUCGCUGUCCUUACCGACCCAUCCUUGACCCAAGGCUGUUUCUCGCGAUUCCAGAAGGUGUCGUUGGUGACCAGAGCCGUCAGCGAGCCACAAGCCGUCCGGAGCUCCUGUCCUGGCCCCGUCCGACAGUCCAGGUUGGCCGUUGUAUGUUCGUUGAGCGGAUACUGAGGAAUUUCCUUAGGAUUUCUAUUAAUCUUCAGCGGCAUCAGCCUUCUAACGCCGCUGCUGAAUGUAGGAUUGCAAAGGCAGAACCCGGGUGGACUCUAGCGGGUUAAAACCUUUAUUUUAUUAUUUUUUCUUCAUAGGGAGCCCCGUUAGAACGGGCAGUAGUAUCUAAAUUGCACUUUGAACCUUUUGUAGGCGCUAGGCUAUCAACGUCCUUCGGUUACGGGGCCUUAACGUUAAACUGCUAUCCCAUUGAAGUAAUAUAGAAGUUCCUCUGUGGUUAAUACCAUCCUUCUACCCCUGUGGCGUGAAACGCAGCGGUGGAACCUUGGUUUCUCCACUCUUAUAUAAUUUCCUUGCAAUACCUUGUGUACUUCAACCAGACAAUUAUAAGGACUUAAUCCCUGGUCUCAUUUAAGUAGUAUAAGAGUUUCUCUGUGGUUAAUACCAUCCUUCUACCCCUGUGGCGUGAAACGCAGUGGUGGAACUUUGGUUUCUCCACUCUUAUAUAAUUUCUAUAUAAUAAAUAUUAAUAAUUGUACAACA